rnacentral:misc_RNA from 1 species
GUGAAUCAUCAAAUUUUUGAACGCAAAUUGCGCUUCCUGGCAUUCCGGGAAGUAUGCCUGUUUGAGGGUCAGUAUUAACAAAAAAAAGGUUUGGUUGCAAAUUGUGACGUUUUCGGAGUUGGGGCUAUCUUAAAUUUUUUGGUUAAGGGGCUUAAAAUUGAUGCUAUUUGUGCAUUUUUAGACGUACAUAAAUUUUUUUUUUUAUUGGUCUAUUUUUAAUGCCAAAAUGUUAUUAGGAGCGAUCAGAUC